rnacentral:misc_RNA from 1 species
UUAACUAUUUUAAUAGUACUCGGACGACACUAACAUUCAGAGUUUAGGGGUCCUCUGGCGGGCACGCCAGACGCGAAUCUAGGCGCACGAGGCGCGGCCCGCCAAAGCAACAUUCUAUAAUGAUACACAAGGGUGGGAGAUCUACCCCGAAGGGCAUGAACUCUGUAAUGAUCCUUCCGCAGGUUCACCUACGGAAA